rnacentral:tRNA from 2 species
GCCCUAGUAGUUCAGAGCAAGAACAUUGGCCUUGUAAGCCAAAUGUCGGAGGCUAAAUUCCUCCCUAGCGCU